UAUACUCCCAUCCGCCUACUGCUUCUCUCCCCCCUCUUUCUCUUUUCAUUUCUUCCACAAAAUUCCCAAAUUUGGGGGAAGACAAACCCUAGCUCGAUUUCUAGGUUGAGAUGGAGGCUCGAUCGCUAGGAAGGAGCAGCGACGUCGUCGGAGACCGCUAUCGUCGCGCUCCUCUGCCGCGCCUCUUGUCUCACCUCGCGCUCCCUCCGUUGCUCACGGUUCGCGCUUUUUCGCGUUCAAACGCCGCGCCACCACCGUCUUCAGGGUGAGCAACCGGCUUGCUGCUUUCUCCAGCCGUCUUCGCUGUGGCGAGACUGUCUCCCUCUCGGAGACUCAGCGUCAUCGGAGCAGGCAAGGGAGUAUCGCCGUCGAGCCUGGCCGCGGUCGGUCGUGUAGCCGUCGUCGCGCACUCGGUACGACAUCUGACCACGCGGUCUCCUUCUGGGCCUUCGGCGCGUGCUCCGGAUACCCGAUUACAGCUCCGUUCUUGUCGGCCAGAGCUAAGUCUCCAUUCCUCCCCUCAUUCCGAUUUCUUUGAUUUGUUCUAUUAAAAGUUCGUUCAAGACCUAGUAACAUCUUAAACUGAGCAGAGUUUGUGUUUUGGCCAAAUUCUUAAUUAGUUUCUGAUGAUACUGAUCUAGCGUUGGUAUCUGGUAGUUCUAUCAUCGUGUGAACGAUAAACUUCUAUUUCUUAUGCAAUAUCUGAGCUAGCUGAGCAGGGGUAUGUGGAGGUUUCACUACUUCACCUUACCCUAUCAUGUUGUCCAUUUUGAAUGAUGUUGGCCUAAAAAAAUGCUCUAAACCCUAAGUUGAUGAUAUGGUAUUCAAACUGAGUUCCGAAAAGAUUGGGUUUACUUCGCUGCUGACUGUAGCUUCCUGAUACUUCUGAUUAGCUCCUCGGCUCCAACUCCUAGCUUCAAAUCCUCCCUCACCUUACAAUUUGCUAUGUGACUGAGCAGGUAUGUUGUGGUGGGAGGAAGUGGAGCCAAGGGAGUGGUAUUUAUAGGAGGGUAUUAUAACUGAAAGCUGCAACUACUUGUUGCUUGGCUGGAAAAAGGCCUUAAGGCUGCUCCAUGUUGGUUGAUCUCCCUGCAGUUUGCAGGCUGCAUACUCGUGAAUUAAAUGUGCCAUUGUACCCCCCAAUCGUUGCUUUACUGCAGAGCCUUUGUUCUCUUUGUUUUUCUUGCUGCAUUUUCACUGGACUUUUGUGGGAUUCUGGCAGGUACUAUCUGGAGUAAGGGCUGUUGAACUGCAAUGUAAGCCACGCGGGGGCCUAUUCCCUAUGGCUGCACCCGUUCCAGUUCGGCCCAAUGACUGUUGAGAAAUCUGGGCUGAAAUCCUUUGUUGAAGAGGCCUGAAAUUAGCAGUUCUCGGUUGUAUCAAGACGGUGUUUCUACUUGAAGUCACAUGUUGUAAUAGUGUAGGAAAAGCUUAUUUCCAAUAUUUUUCUUUUGUCAACAAUUGUAAUUUAAUAGCUUUGAAAUUCUGGCAUUUUAUUUAUACUCUUAUUCAAGAAAUAAAAAUACUCCUUCAUUCUUAAA